CAUGUCCUUUAUGUCUUUGUCUCUCAGGAGAAGCGUCUGCGGGACAGACAGACGGAGACGGAGGAGAGUUUACAGAAGCGUCUGGAAGCAGCUCGCAUCGACAUGGAGCUCAGCAACGAGCCAGGGGUGUUCGAUGUGGUCAUCAUCAACGAUGACUUAGAGAGAGCUUACGAGGAGCUGAGAGACAUCCUCAGUGACGAAAUCAAGAAAGUGAAGGAGGUGAAAUCCUAAGGAGGAAAAUCUUUCUGCUGCUGUGACUCUGAAUAACUUCACACCGACUGCAUCACAGUUUCAGAUACACUUGGUCUUUAUCAUCUAAGAGUUGGCACUGACAUCACAUCAAUAUGAAGCACACAUCAUUAUCUCCAGUCAGAACAUCACUGCAAAAUAUGACACUUUCAUUCAUUAGUUUGGUUGUAUUCUUGGUAACAAUGAAAUCACUCGUAGUUAAGUACAUGACUGCUAUAACUACUAUUACAUUAACUAAAUAUUUACUGCUGCCAAUGUCUUAAAUGUGGAGGAACGUCGAGAUCAAAUGAAUGAAUGAAAAACAUUCCCACGUAAGUUUGUGUUCAAAAAGGCUGAAUAAAGAAAGUGAAGACAACCGGAGACCACGUUGGUGCCAUUUAUUUAAUCUUGUAUUCAUAAAUUCAUUCGGGUAUUGAAGUAUUACCUGGCAUUUAUUAAAACCUACAAGUAAUGGAUUUCUCAGUUGUACGUUAAAACUUUAAGGCAAAAUGUGAACAAUUUGAAAUAACUCAGAAAAACUGUUUCCCCUUUAAGGCCGUGCAUCUGUCACCAGUUUCUCGUGUAACUAAGUCUAGAUUUGAAAACUCAUGCACUCUGAAAGACUUAUCCCUGAUAUGUUUCCAUAAACCAAAGCACACACUUAUAAAAGCUUCUGGAUAAAUACAUAAAAACUCAUUAAGACGCAUCACAUUUUUUAAAUCAGAGGAAACUAAAAAUGAAUUUAUGAACCUUGCUGAAAUUAAAUGUGCUGGAUAGUUGUAAAGAUCUGCUAUCAUACUGUUUCUCAGAUAUAUAUUUCAGGUCUCAGAUAUAUCCAGAACCUGUCUCUGAUUGGCUGAAACA